UUUUUGUUUAACUAUGGCGAAAAGAAGUUUUUUCACUAUAACUGCAUAAAAUAAUUUUGUUCUAGUCUACUAAAAUAUUAUAUAGUGAUUAUUAGCAGUUAGUUUUUCAUUUAAACUAGUUUUUUUAAGAUAGUGGAGAUAAAGGGGAUAGGACACAGUGCCAGCAUCUGCGGUUA
rnacentral:rRNA from 1 species